GUGUCAGCAGCCGCGCGGUAAUACGAAGGUCCCAAGCGUUGUUCGGAAUCACUGGGCGUAAAGGGAGCGUAGGCUGUGCGGUAAGUCAGAUGUGAAAUCCCGGGGCUCAACCCCGGAACUGCAUCCGAUACUGCCAUACUAGAGGAUUGGAGAGGUAGCUGGAAUUCACGGUGUAGCAGUGAAAUGCGUAGAUAUCGUGAGGAACACCAAUGGCGAAAGCAAGCUACUGGACAACUCCUGACGCUGAGGCUCGAAGGCCAGGGUAGCGAAAGGGAUUAGAUACCCCUGUAGUCCUGGCAGUAAACGGUGCGCGCUUGGUGUGAGAGGAUUCGACCCCUCUUGUGCCGGAGCUAACGCGUUAAGCGCGCCGCCUGGGAAGUACGGUCGCAAGACUAAAACUCAAAGAAAUUGACGGGGACCCGCACAAGCGGUGGAGUAUGUGGCUUAAUUCGAUGCAACGCGAAGAACCUUACCAAGGCUUGACAUGCAUCUCUAAUCGCGUGAAAGCGCGUGACCCUUCGGGGGAUUUGCACAGGUGCUGCAUGGCCGUCGUCAGCUCGUGUCGUGAGAUGUUGGGUUAAGUCCCGCAACGAGCGCAACCCCUGUGAUCAGUUGCCAGCACAUAAUGGUGGGAACUCUGGUCAGACUGCCCAGAUCAACUGGGAGGAAGGUGGGGACGACGUCAGGUCAGUAUGGCCCUUACGCCUUGGGCUGCAGACGUACUACAAUGCCCAGUACAAUGAGAACCGAUACCGCGAGGUGGAGGAAAUCUACAAAACUGGGCCCAGUUCGGAUUGGAGGCUGCAACUCGCCUCCAUGAAGUCGGAAUCGCUAGUAAUGGCACAUCAGCUACGGUGCCGUGAAUACGUUCCCGGGUCUUGUACACACCGCCCGUCA
rnacentral:rRNA from 1 species